rnacentral:rRNA from 1 species
AACCUUUACUAUAGCUUGACACUGAACAUUGAGCCUUGAUGUGUAGGAUAGGUGGGAGGCUUUGAAGCGUGGACGCCAGUCUGCGUGGAGCCGACCUUGAAAUACCACCCUUUAAUGUUUGAUGUUCUAACGUGGACCCGUAAUCCGGGUUGCGGACAGUGUCUGGUGGGUAGUUUGACUGGGGCGGUCUCCUCCUAAAGAGUAACGGAGGAGCACGAAGGUUGGCUAAUCCUGGUCGGACAUCAGGAGGUUAGUGCAAUGGCAUAAGCCAGCUUGACUGCGAGCGUGACGGCGCGAGCAGGUGCGAAAGCAGGUCAUAGUGAUCCGGUGGUUCUGAAUGGAAGGGCCAUCGCUCAACGGAUAAAAGGUACUCCGGGGAUAACAGGCUGAUACCGCCCAAGAGUUCAUAUCGACGGCGGUGUUUGGCACCUCGAUGUCGGCUCAUCACAUCCUGGGGCUGAAGUAGGUCCCAAGGGUAUGGCUGUUCGCCAUUUAAAGUGGUACGCGAGCUGGGUUUAGAACGUCGUGAGACAGUUCGGUCCCUAUCUGCCGUGGGCGCUGGAGAACUGAGGGGGGCUGCUCCUAGUACGAGAGGACCGGAGUGGACGCAUCACUGGUGUUCGGGUUGUCAUGCCAAUGGCACUGCCCGGUAGCUAAAUGCGGAAGAGAUAAGUGCUGAAAGCAUCUAAGCACGAAACUUGCCCCGAGAUGAGUUCUCCCUGAGACUUAG